rnacentral:tRNA from 1 species
AGAGACUUAGGAUAGUUAGACCAAAGGCCUUCAAAGCCUUAAGCGGGAGUUAGACCCUCCCAGCCUCUGC